UUAUAAAUUUAAUUAUUAUUAUUGAUUUUUUAAAGUAUUAUUUUAUUUAUUAUUAUAAAAGAAAAAUUAAUUUUUUAUUAUAGUUUACUAGUAAAGUGAUUGAAUUUAUUUAUAUAUUAAUAAGAAAAAUUUAUUUUUUGUACCUUGUGUAUCAGGGUUGAUUAAUUUUAUAAUUAUUAUUAAUUUUUCUCGAAUUAAGAAGAGCUAAUUAUGUAUAUGUUUAAUUUUUUCAUAAAUUUUCAUAAUAUAUAAUUUGAAAUGAAAUGUUAUUCGUUUCUUAAUAUAUCUAGUUUUUUAAGAAAAGAAUUUAAUUCUCUUAUUAUUUAUUAUUAGUUAAUUUUUAGUUAAUAAUUUUUAGUAUGAAAUAAAUAAAGGGAUAAGCUUUUAUUUUAAUAAUUAAAAAUUUAUUUGAUUUUAUUUUUUGUAUAAUUUAAAUUGUUAAUCAUUUUUAUAAUAUAAUAGUUAAUUUUAUUUAAUUAAUGAUUUAUAUUUAUUUUAAUUUUUUUAUUAAAAAUUUAUGUUUAAUUUUUUAGCUUUUUUAUAAUGAUUAAAUUAGUAGAUAAAUAUGUAUUUUAUUAUUUAUUUUUAAGAUAAUAAAAAGGAACUCGGCAAAUAAAUUUUUCGCCUGUUUAUUAAAAACAUGUCUUUUUGAUUAUAAUUUAAGGUUUAAUCUGCUCAAUGAUUUAUUAAAUUGCCGCAGUAUUUUGACUGUGCAAAGGUAGCAUAAUAAUUAGCUUUUUUAUUGAGAGCUGGAAUGAAUGAUUGGACGAAAAAAUUUCUGUCUCUUUAUUAUUUAUUAUUUAAUUUUACUUUUAAGUUAAAAGGCUUAAAUUUUUUUAAAAGACGAGAAGACCCUAUAGAGUUUUAUUUUUAUUUUUUGAUUAAUUUUUAGAAUUUAAAAUAUUUUAUAAAAUAAAAAAUUUAGUUGGGGUGACUGAAAGAUUAAUUAAACUCUUUUAAUUGAAAUCAUUUAUUUAUGAAUAGAGAAAUUAUUUUUAUAAAUUUAAAAUAAAUUACCUUAGGGAUAACAGCGUUAUUUUUCUUUAGAGUUCUUAUUGAAAGGAAAGAUUGCGACCUCGAUGUUGGAUUAAAAUUUAUUUUUGGUGUAGAAGCUUAAAAUAUUAAGUCUGUUCGACUUUUAAAAUUUUACAUGAUCUGAGUUUAAACCGGUGUAAGCCAGGUUGGUUUCUAUCUUUAAAUUUUUAAUAUAUUUUAGUACGAAAGGACCAAAUAUAUAAUAUAUUAUUUUAUUUUGAAUAAUAUU
rnacentral:rRNA from 1 species